rnacentral:sRNA from 1 species
ACCAACGUCCCUCGAUUCUGGUAGAGCGAGCUUACGAACGACAGAUAGAUGUCUGCCGGAAGAGCGCCCCGUUCAUUGC